CCUGAAGAGAUUGUAGAUCGGCAACCGUUUCCUCUGCUAAUAUGGAUAAUUCAUGGAUGUUCUCUAUAAUGCUCGAAAAGUAAUAAAACAAUUAUGUGGAAAGCCGAAGCAUAGUCUUCUGUUCUGUGCAAUUGGAAGCGUAAAGAGGAGGCCAAUGCAAUUUUUAAUUGUCUUUUGAAAAAAAAAAUUGAAACUUUACUUUAUUAUAUAAAAAUAAAAGUGGUGACUUUUC